UUGAAAAAUUACUUGGUCUUUUUGACCACAUGGGUAAUUCUGUUGAGAGCAGUUGUGCAGUUCUAGAGAGCUUGGGAACAAUGGAUGUAGGGACACAUAGAUAACAGAGUAAAGAAAGAGGAAGGACGAGGAGGAGGAGGAGAGGAAGCAGAAGAAAAGAUAAGAAGAAUAAGUCUGAAAGAGUGCAGGAGUGCCAGGAAGGCUUUCUCAAGAGAUGUAGAAGAGAGCAAAUAACGAAGCGCAGUAAGAAAGCUAGAAGUACUGACAGAAAGAGGAAAAGGAAUAAUGUCAACAACGAAUGGUUGAAGAUGUGAGAGGACUGGAGCCUCUUUAGCUAAAGGUGUAGGAGGCCAUGUGGCAAGAUUGCAGGCGGCCUCAAGGAUCUACAUGGUGCCAUAACCACAUUCAUUUGCAAGAGGACUCUGAGCUCCAAAUGAGAACCCAGACUAGCUGACACAAUUUUAGCCUUAUGAGAUCUUGAACAGGGAUCGAACUUGGGACCUUGCACUUGUGAAGCAGGCAGCAGCACCACUGAGCUAAAUCCCUGUCCCCUGAGACAUUAAAGAUUCUUUUGUUGUUCUUUUUGUCCUUAUAGGAUACCCACUAGGAACGUAUAGUUAAAUUACAAUGUUUAAUGUCAGUUGGAAUAAUCCCUUUCUGUAUGGUUAUGCUAAUAAUGAGAUACCCAAUUAGACUCACUUGUUUAUUUUCAUUUUUAGAGAUUGCUUUUAAAAUACCAGCUUAUUUUUAUUUUUUAUGGGAUUGGGAAUUGAAUUUAGUGCUCCAUGCAUAGUAGGUGAGGAGUGGUCAGAAGGGUUUUGGAAUGCCUAAGAAAUACUUUCUCUAUUCAUUGGACGAAUCAGAAGGCCAAAUUGAAAGAAAACCUUUGGAACUCCUCCCCCUACUUAAAAGGAGCCAAUCACAACGCCUAUGGGAAAGUAGAAUCAAAGGCAAAGUGGAAGAUUAGAGGGGGGGUGACAUCAUGUCCCUGGCAACCUAGAGGGAUGUUUUGGAAUUCUAAAUGAGUUGGUUGGCUAACAAGAGACUAUAGGGUCAACAAAAGUGAGGGAUUUAAAAAAGAUUCUAGCAGGAUAAAAUGAGGUUAGCGAGUACACAAAUACGAGGCUUACAGUUGACAGGAAGGGCAAGAUGGCUGUGUAGGGAAAGUUGGGGGACAGGCAGGGCAAGGUAGUGUCUCUCAGUGAGGUUUCUGGCAAAUAAAGAGUUAAAACCCUGCUAGAGAGAGCAGCUCAGCAAAACAAAGAGCUGAUCAGACCCUGGCUUACUCCGUGCGGGGGUGGGGGGUGGGGGGGGGCGUUUUCCCUCCUCCCUCCACCUCCAAUUAAGCGCUAAAGGGACAAAGCGGGGAGGGCGCUAUGUUAUAGAAAACUCACUUAGUAUCUAAAAUAUACACUAACACCUGGACACUCACACACCUAUAUACGAGUACAUAUAUAUUUUAUUAUUCUCUCACCAUAUUAAUACACUAAGGUACACAUGUAUCCUUUUUACAAACUCAGCCUUGAAUGUGAGGCUCUGCUGUAAAUCUCACAAGAUAAGUACUCGGACAGCACAAAGACCAAAGCCAUGCUUAUCCAAGAAUGCACACGUAGGUAAUGGAAGGGGGAAUGGCCAGACCAGGAGUCUCAGAGCCCAGAGCAGCCAAUCAAGACAUAGCAACUCUCAAGGGGGUGGGUCCCUGUCUUGGUCGUGUAAUAAAAGGGGCUAAAAACAAAGACUCCUGAGUGCCCGUUCCAGGCUCCCUACCUUACUCCAACACCAUACCUUACUAUCUCCUUAUUCUCUCCUUUUCCCAAUAAAGUGAUUUUGUUCCCUAAUAUUCAUGCCUUUCCAAUAAAGUGAUUUUGUUUUUCUUUCUAAACCUAUAUUGAAAUAAGAAAAAAUACAACAGAGGCUAACAGUCUCAAAGCUUGACAGAAAUUAACAGUUUCAAAACUUGCCCCUCCUGCUAAACCCACGAGGUUCACUAUGGCCGAAAGAUGAACUGCUGACACAACAUCUGCCUGUACCUCCCUGCCCCUGUGCUAAGUUCUGCUUCUGUUUUGCUUGCUUCCUUGCCCUGCCGAAAGAGCAAUAUAAAAAUGAAAGGAAACUUAUUAGAAUCGGGGCUCAGACUCUGGAAGGUGACUUCCACUGAGCCCGCUAGUGAAUGAGCCUGCCUUUCCUUUCAGUUCUCUGAGUGCCGCUCUCUUCCUCUGUCUGCCAGCCCCCUGAGUGCUGUAACAAUGUCUCUAAUUCUUUCAUUGGUAUAGUUCUUUGAACUCUAGAUAAGAUCUACCCUCACCAGAUGUGACAGGUAGAUUGGAAGGGAAUGUGGGAGAAAGAGUUAUGGAGCCCAGGGAGGAUAUUAUGGGGGAUGGGACAGAGUUGUGAGGCAGAAGGGCCCAGUUAUGGAGAGAUUGCAAGGAGGCUGUGGGGAGACUGAAGUGGGCAUCAGUGGACAAUCUGGAUGGUGUUAUGGGGAUGGGGAAGAGGUUACCAGGAAAGGAAGGAGGCUGUGGGGACUGGAAGAUAAGGAGCACAAGGAAAAUGUUAGAAAGAGACGGGGAGGAGACUGUGGGAUAGGGAGGAGAUUUGAGGGAUAGGGAGGGAGUGAGGUACUGACAGUCACGGGAUGGGGAUUACAGGAGCAUGUAGAGAGGAUUCUGGGAGAUGGAAAGGGGUACGUGGUACAAAGCAGAGAUUAUUGGCAGCAGCAAGGGGCCUAUAGGAAGGUGGGGGACAUUACUGGAGCGUAGGGAGAGAGUAAACAGUACAGGAAGGAGGUAACGGGACAGCAAGGGCUCAUGGAUACUGUGGAUCGUCAUCAUCACAAGGG